AUGAGCUCUGUCUAUGUUUGGUAGGUAAUAACACCAAUAGGAACUGUGAUCAUUGUAAAUCUUCACUCCUGGGGGAGGACGAUGGAUAUUGAUAUUUACUUAUCUGCCAAAGAUUUCCACAACACUGACGGACUUUGUGGACAUUUUGAUGGAGAUAGAAAUAAUGACUUUAGGCACAGAGAUGGCUCCCAGUCGUCCCCAUCCAAUGCCUAUUAUGGUUAAACUGACUUUAUAAAAAGUUGGAGAUUACUGGAUGAGGAAAACUUCUUACAUAAUGACAGCCGUGUCUUAGAGAAAUGGAAUGUUAACAAUGGAGCAUCCAUGGAUGAAGCUUGUUCGAACGGUAACUCCAUAUCUAAGAAUAAAUGUCAAUUUGGCGGAGAGAAGAGAAAACGGCGAGAUGUCGCCACAGGAUUUGGAAAAAAAAUAAAGUCAAGUAUUAAUAACAUGAGAGAAAAGAGAAGUACUGGAGGCGACAUUUCGGACGAUAAAGCUCGUGAACUGUGUAACACCUCUAUAACUGGAGCCCCUUCCGUCAAAGAAUUCUCGGACCAGCUUGGAGAUGAAGACACAAACAUUGUAUUUGACCAAUGCGUGUAUGACAUUAUUGUAAGUUUACUCGUAUAUA